ACGGGUCCGUCACCUCAAGAACCGCUGGUCACCCUAACCACCGCCCGUCACCCUCACACACCGCCCGUCACCCUCACACACCGCCCGUCACCCUCACACACCGCCCGUCACCCUCACACACCGCCCGUCACCCUCACACACCGCCCGUCACCCUCACACACCGCCAGUCACCCUCACACACCGCCCGUCACCCUCACACACCACCCGUCACCCUCACAAACCGCCCGUCACCCUCCCAGUCCACGCGUCACCCUCAAGGUGGAACAAAUGGGCUACAUUUUCUAACAUCAAACAGACGAAAAAGGGCGUGAAACUCGCCCUUGGAAGGAGGAUUUAGCAGUAAAGUAAGACCAUACUUCUCUUAAGCCUACUUAAAGACGGCCCUGGGGCACGUACACACCGCCCGUCACCCUCAAAAAACGGC
rnacentral:rRNA from 1 species